rnacentral:lncRNA from 1 species
UUUUGUUUUUGUUUCUUUUUUAAUAUAAAACUAAAGGUAAAGGCAGCUGAAUCCUUUAUGUUUGUCAUUUUUAUAUUACAAUCUGCAUUAAAAAAAAUUAAGAUACAAAUAGUUUUCGAAGUUGUUCCCAACUAUCACACAGAUUUUGUCUUUUUAGGACUAAUACCACCAUCUUCAGCUGACUUCUCUGCUGGUCUCUUUUUUAACCCCUUCAUUUUUCUCGUCUGCAGUUUACUAAGAUCUUGUUUCUGCAUGUGGAUUCGACCGUAAGUUGUACCAAACACAUCAUGGGAGAUGUUCUUUUUCUUCUUAGGCUUUAGGGCUUUGGGUUGUUUUAAAGAUAGCUUAUAAAGGUCAUCUGAAGCUAAAUGUGUUCUCCUCAUAACCAAAUCUAAUGAAGGUCCUAUAUCUUCCAGUUCAAUUCUUGGUAUUUUACAGCCAGAUUUCUUCAGAAGUACCUUGUAGCUUCUCAUGUAAAUUUUCCCAUCGACAGCUGUGAAAUGCAGAACAUGUUCUAACCCAGCCAGACGAAUGUUGGGCACAGUAGGACCUCUGAAGAAAUCAAUGAGAAGGCUCUUCAGUCUCCUGUAUUCUUCGCUUAAAUCAAACGUGUCACCAGCAAAUAUCAACAUAGGUUUUGUUCCUUCAGGACAUUUGUUGUUCUUGAUGUCUUUCAGGGAUACAAAGUUCUCAAUGCCUAGCUCAAUCAUAUCCAGCACGUGGUAAUCAAACAUGCGACCUACUAUCAGGUUAUUGGGCCGCUUCUUGUUGUGAGAGCCAAACAGAAACAAAGAACAAUCCGAUUUCUUGGAAAAGAAUUCCAAUGACGUUUGGUCCUCAAAAGGCCGGGUGAUAUUUUUCUUUUUAUACAUCACAGCAAAGGGCUUCUUCAGAGCAUAAAUGUCUUUAAGCACUUCAGUCACCGUUGAGUUCGCAUUUCCUCCCUUUAUAAGCAUGGCAUUUUUUGUGUUUUCUGUAAGUUUGGGCUCUCUCUUCUCGAGAAACCUUUUUGCUCUCUUGGUUUUGGGCUUCACCACCCGGUCCAGCGCGUCCAUGAC